UACGUAGGGGGCGAGCGUUGUCCGGAGUUACUGGGCGUAAAGCGCACGUAGGCGGCUUUGUAAGUUAGAGGUGAAAGCCCGGGGCUCAACUCCGGAAUUGCCUUUAAGACUGCAUCGCUAGAAUUGUGGAGAGGUAAGUGGAAUUCCGAGUGUAAAGGUGAAAUUCGUAGAUAUUCGGAAGAACACCAGUGGCGAAGGCGACUUACUGGACACAUAUUGACGCUGAGGUGCGAAAGCGUGGGGAGCAAACAGG
rnacentral:rRNA from 1 species